rnacentral:tRNA from 1 species
UCCGUUAUGGUGUAGUGGCUAACAUUAUCGCCUCUCAUUGCAUGGGCAAUCUACCAUUGAUAAAUUUGCGAGCGCGAUAGCCCAGGGUUCGAUUCCCUGUAACGGAA